GUAGUCAUGGCCGAGUGGUUAAGCCGAUGGACUAGAAAUCUUUUGGGGUCUCCCCGUGCAUGUUCGAAUCCUGCCGACUACA
rnacentral:tRNA from 1 species